GUUCAAUACCAGAUACCAACUAUACAGUGCAAUUCUACUUAUUGCAAUAGCCAUGGAGUUUGCAACAAUUUAAAUCAUUGCCAGUGUGAAAAGGGGUUUGAUCCUCCCACAUGCCUGGAGAAGAAGGGAGAAUUUGGAAGUAUAGAUGAUGGGCACAAGGCUCCAUCUGAGAGAGACAGCCAGUGAGAGAGGGAAC